GAAAAAUCCAGCAAAUUGUUGCUUGACAUUUCGUCUUUGACGUGGAUGUUUCAUCGUCAGUUACAAUAGAGAAAUUUACCAUUAUUUUAACUAAUGUCACUAGUUUUGCAUUUAUUUUAAUGACCCAUCAAAGGAAAUCAAAUAUUAUUUCGAUAAAAACACACUCAUCUCAAUAGUUUGUAGGAAUUCAUAAUGUUCGAAAUUACUGAUACACAGAAAAUUGGAGUUGGAUUGGCCGGAUUUGGAGUUGCAUUUGUAUUUCUUGGUGUACUUUUGCUGUUUGAUAAAGGACUCUUAGCAAUUGGAAAUAUUUUGUUCAUAUGUGGCUUGGCCUGCAUUAUUGGUCUGGAGCGAACCUUCCGAUUUUUUGUGCAACGUAAAAAAAUCAAAUCAUCGCUUGCAUUUUUCGGUGGAAUUGUCAUCGUUUUGUUAGGAUGGCCAUUAAUUGGAAUGAUAAUUGAAUCCUAUGGAUUUUUCUUAUUGUUUAGCGGUUUUUUCCCAGUUGCCAUAAACUUUUUACGAAGAGUACCAAUUUUGGGACGAUUUCUCAACUUGCCUGGAAUUAGCACGGUCAUUGAUCGUUUGACUGGUGACUCUGAAAGAACAAGGGUAUGAUUUAGGAUUUAGUAUUUGUGAGUACCUGUUUAAUAUGAAGAUGCUAAGCGACCAAACUGAUGACUAAUUCCACAAAUCAUUCACUUAAGAUUUCAUCCUUUCUAAAAAUGUGUCUGCAUAAAGCGGAGAGCAUUGAAUGAAGACGAUAAGCUUUGGCUCGGAUAAUGAAAUCAAUUACAUUUUUGUAAACUUGAUAUGUGAAACUGUGCCACACCGUAUCGAUCAACUCAACGAUAGCCCAAGAUCACUUCAAAGGGGGCAUCCUUAUCUAAAUUCACAUACUUCCUCAUUAUAUUUUAAGGCGCAUACCAACUAAAGUGAUAUCUUCAGUAUUUCAAUUAAAAUUCCUUCGAAAAUAUGAAAUAAAAGCGAAUUUACUAUUUGGUGAUGCCAAACAAAAA